AGGGGGUUAAGUUAACAAAACUAUUAAACUUCAAAUUUAAACUUAAUCCUAGAUUACCCCCUA
rnacentral:tRNA from 1 species